rnacentral:rRNA from 1 species
UGCAGUCGAGCGAGUCUGCCUUGAAGAUCNGGAGUGCUUGCACUCUGUGAAACAAGAUACAGGCUAGCGGCGGACGGGUGAGUAACACGUGGGUAACCUGCCCAAGAGAUCGGGAUAACACCUGGAAACAGAUGCUAAUACCGGAUAACAACAGAUGAUGCCUAUCAACUGUUUAAAAGAUGGUUCUGCUAUCACUCUUGGAUGGACCUGCGGUGCAUUAGCUAGUUGGUAGGGUAACGGCCUACCAAGGCGAUGAUGCAUAGCCGAGUUGAGAGACUGAUCGGCCACAUUGGGACUGAGACACGGCCCAAACUCCUACGGGAGGCAGCAGUAGGGAAUCUUCCACAAUGGACGCAAGUCUGAUGGAGCAACGCCGCGUGAGUGAAGAAGGGUUUCGGCUCGUAAAGCUCUGUUGUUGGUGAAGAAGGACAGGGGUAGUAACUGACCUUUGUUUGACGGUAAUCAAUUAGAAAGUCACGGCUAACUACGUGCCAGCAGCCGCGGUAAUACGUAGGUGGCAAGCGUUGUCCGGAUUUAUUGGGCGUAAAGCGAGUGCAGGCGGCUCGAUAAGUCUGAUGUGAAAGCCUUCGGCUCAACCGGAGAAUUGCAUCAGAAACUGUCGAGCUUGAGUACAGAAGAGGAGAGUGGAACUCCAUGUGUAGCGGUGAAAUGCGUAGAUAUAUGGAAGAACACCGGUGGCGAAGGCGGCUCUCUGGUCUGUUACUGACGCUGAGGCUCGAAAGCAUGGGUAGCGAACAGGAUUAGAU